rnacentral:rRNA from 1 species
GGAAUAUUGCACAAUGGGGGGAACCCUGAUGCAGCAACGCCGCGUGGGUGAAGAAGUAUUUCGGUAUGUAAAGCCCUAUCAGCAGGGAAGAUAGUGACGGUACCUGACUAAGAAGCUCCGGCUAAAUACGUGCCAGCAGCCGCGGUAAUACGUAUGGAGCAAGCGUUAUCCGGAUUUACUGGGUGUAAAGGGUGCGUAGGCGGCAUGCCAAGUCAGAUGUGAAAUGCCGGGGCUUAACCCCGGAGCUGCAUUUGAAACUGGCAGGCUUGAGUUCAGGAGGGGCAGGCGGAAUUCCUGGUGUAGCGGUGAAAUGCGUAGAUAUCAGGAGGAACACCGGUGGCGAAGGCGGCCUGCUGGACUGACACUGACGCUGAGGCACGAAAGCGUGGGGAGCAAACA